CGGGGUCCAUCCAGUGGCAACACUGGUGAAGAUCUAGUGGCGAACGGGUGCGUAACACGUGAGGAACCUACCCCGAUCUCAGGAAUAACAGUGGGAAACCACUGCUAAUACCGGAUGUCUUCCCCGAGUCGCAUGGCUCGGCGAAGAAAGGGUUACCGGAUCGGGACGGCCUCGCGGCCUAUCAGCUUGUUGGCGGGGUAACGGCCCACCAAGGCGUCGACGGGUAGCUGGUCUGAGAGGAUGAUCAGCCACACUGGGACUGAGACACGGCCCAGACUCCUACGGGAGGCAGCAGUGGGGAAUCUUGCGCAAUGGGCGAAAGCCUGACGCAGCAACGCCGCGUGGGGGAUGAAGGCCCUCGGGUUGUAAACCCCUUUCAGCAGGAACGAAUCUGACGGUACCUGCAGAAGAAGGCCCGGCCAACUACGUGCCAGCAGCCGCGGUAAUACGUAGGGGCCAAGCGUUGUCCGGAUUUAUUGGGCGUAAAGAGCUCGUAGGCGGUUGGGUAAGUCGGGUGUGAAAACUCCAGGCUCAACUUGGAGACGCCACCCGAUACUGCUCUGACUUGAGUUCGGUAGGGGAGUGGGGAAUUCCUGGUGUAGCGGUGAAAUGCGCAGAUAUCAGGAGGAACACCGGUGGCGAAGGCGCCACUCUGGGCCGAAACUGACGCUGAGGAGCGAAAGCGUGGGUAGCAAACAGGAUUAGAUACCCUGGUAGUCCACGCCGUAAACGUUGGGCACUAGGUGUGGGCCCUAACCAACGGGGUCCGUGCCGUAGCUAACGCAUUAAGUGCCCCGCCUGGGGAGUAC
rnacentral:rRNA from 1 species